AUAUUUAUUAUAGAAGUUUAAUUAAAGUUAAUUAUUGAGUUGUUGUAACGAAGGGUAUAACAUAAAAAAGGGGUUUGUAUGAUCAUUUAUGAAUUUAAGGGGAUUUGUGUGACCAUUUAACCAAAUCUUCAGAGUGUGGGUGGCUUUUCCCCUAUUAGAAACGAAAUUAUUUCAAGUUAUUUGUGAUUUUAAUUUCACGUGCUUCUUGCCACGUGUGUGGGAGAGAAUUAAUAUGGAAGAGAGCUAACCACUUGUUCAGUUAAGGCUCCAUUUGGUACAACUUUUCAAGUAUAGUUUAUUUAAGUAAAAUUUUUAUUAGUAGAGCUUUUAUAAAUAGAGAUUUUACUA
rnacentral:lncRNA from 1 species